GAUGAACGCUGGCGGCGUGCCUAAUACAUGCAAGUCGAGCGAACAGACGAGGAGCUUGCUCCUUUGACGUUAGCGGCGGACGGGUGAGUAACACGUGGGUAACCUACCUAUAAGACUGGGAUAACUUCGGGAAACCGGAGCUAAUACCGGAUAAUAUUUCGAACCGCAUGGUUCGAUAGUGAAAGAUGGCUUUGCUAUCACUUAUAGAUGGACCUGCGCCGUAUUAGCUAGUUGGUAAGGUAACGGCUUACCAAGGCAACGAUACGUAGCCGACCUGAGAGGGUGAUCGGCCACACUGGAACUGGAACACGGUCCAGACUCCUACGGGAGGCAGCAGUAGGGAAUCUUCCGCAAUGGGCGAAAGCCUGACGGAGCAACGCCGCGUGAGUGAUGAAGGUCUUCGGAUCGUAAAACUCUGUUAUUAGGGAAGAACAAACGUGUAAGUAACUGUGCACGUCUUGACGGUACCUAAUCAGAGAGCCACGGCUAACUACGUG
rnacentral:rRNA from 1 species